rnacentral:rRNA from 1 species
UACGGAAGGUCCGGGCGUUAUCCGGAUUUAUUGGGUUUAAAGGGAGCGUAGGCCGGAGAUUAAGCGUGUUGUGAAAUGUAGAUGCUCAACAUCUGCACUGCAGCGCGAACUGGUUUCCUUGAGUACGCACAAAGUGGGCGGAAUUCGUGGUGUAGCGGUGAAAUGCUUAGAUAUCACGAAGAACUCCGAUUGCGAAGGCAGCUCACUGGAACGCAACUGACGCUGAAGCUCGAAAGUGCGGGUAUCGAACAGG